rnacentral:rRNA from 1 species
UUUAAAUGUAUUUUUAUAUGCUAAAUUAGUAUUAGUUAUGUUCUUGAAAAUUAAAGAUUUUGGCGGUAUUUUAGUCUAUUCAGAGGAACCUGUUCUAUAAUUGAUAAUCCACGAUUUAAUUUACUUUUUUUAUUAGUUUGUAUAUCGUCGUAAUUUGAAUAUUUUAUAAGAAUAAUAAUAUUCAAGAUUUUUUAUAAUAAAAAUAAAUCAGAUCAAGGUGCAGUUUAUAAAAAAGAAGAAAUGGGUUACAAUAAAAUUAUUUAAGGAUUAUUAUUUAUAAAAUAAUAUGAAUUUGGAUUUGAGAGUAAAUUUAAUUAAUUAAUUAAAUUGAUUUUAGCUCUAAAAUAUGU